AUUGAACGCUGGCGGCAUGCCUUACACAUGCAAGUCGAACGGCAGCACGGGAGCAAUCCUGGUGGCGAGUGGCGAACGGGUGAGUAAUAUAUCGGAACGUGCCCGGUCGUGGGGGAUAACGUAGCGAAAGCUACGCUAAUACCGCAUACGAUCUAUGGAUGAAAGCGGGGGAUCGCAAGACCUCGCGCGAUUGGAGCGGCCGAUAUCAGAUUAGGUAGUUGGUGAGGUAAAGGCUCACCAAGCCGACGAUCUGUAGCUGGUCUGAGAGGACGACCAGCCACACUGGGACUGAGACACGGCCCAGACUCCUACGGGAGGCAGCAGUGGGGAAUUUUGGACAAUGGGCGCAAGCCUGAUCCAGCAAUGCCGCGUGCAGGAUGAAGGCCU
rnacentral:rRNA from 1 species